UUGAAAGGGAAACGAUUGAAGUCAGUCAUGCUAGUGAAAAAUCAGUUUGACGGGUUUUGAGUUCUUGAGUAGAGGCAGGGUCAAACUGUUUCUCUUUUGGACUUGGGAUUUGUUAGAUGUACUUUUUCUUUGGCAGGUCCCGUCGGUUUCGGGGGUUGUAAAAUACUUGGGGGAAACUAGGUCCGCUUCGGGAGAGUGUUAUAGACCCUGGGAGAUGCGUGAUCGAGGAUCGAGGAUUGCACCAAAUGCCUUCGGGCCUGUCGCCUGUUUCUGGGUGUUACCUUUCUUGUGUCAACAUUCUCACCAACGGGGAGUACUAAUGCCUCCUUAUUAGAGCGAUCGAAAAUUUCGUUAAGGAUGUUGACGUA
rnacentral:rRNA from 1 species